CUACAAUCGGAUAUCCUGUUGGCUUCGCGUGGCUGCAGCAUUUUGGAUCCUUUAAAACAUGUUAAGAAAAAAUUCACUUAUAGAUGUGUUUCAGAAAGAAAGCUAUCUUAUAUCCGAUAGUUUCAAGAUAUGUAUUUUAAAGGAAACCGUUUUACAAUAAAUAGUGAUAAAUAAAACCCUAAUUACACCUUCACAUAAAUGCGUAAGACACCAAAGCGAGUUUUGAAAUCGAUUAAAACUAUGAGAAACCGCACGUCUGUCCGUUGAAACGAAAGUCAGAGAACUGAUUUCACUGGCACAAUAAAAGACUCAUCCGGUUGUUGCUUUGUAUUCAAGCUUCACGAAGGUGGUUUGGCUGGUUUAACCAACUAACCGAUAGUUCCCAUUUAACAAUUAAUAAAACUUAUACACCACCCUAUAAAUAAAUAAAGGAAGCUUCAAUAGCUUCAAAUCUACUAAUUAUCACGAAUAUGUGUGGACUUUGAGAGAUUUGGCGGUUUGGAUGUCAUUGGGACAACCCAAUACUGGACCCGGAAUGGAUCAAAUGGGAACACUGGCCUCAACACAUCCCCAAUAUUGAGGAAGUGUGCAAUACUACGUUCGCACUCCAAUAAACUGCACUUUUAAUUCAGCACCAGUCUCGUCGGUUUUCGUGAGUGAUGUCGUUGGCCAGCCUUUUGAUUCCUGCCAUUCGAUAAGCCAAUGGCUUCCGCCUCUGAAGUCCAGUGUGCGGGUUCACUUCGUAGCCUCAUCUGCUACAUUUUGGGAGGUAGGAACCCAAAGCUGCGGUGUAUGGCGAUAGUGAUUAGAACGCUGGA